AUACGUAGGGGGCAAGCGUUAUCCGGAUUUACUGGGUGUAAAGGGAGCGUAGACGGAAGGCCAAGUCUGAUGUGAAAGCCCGCGGCUCAACUGCGGGACUGCAUUGGAAACUGGUCAUCUGGAGUGCAGGAGGGGUAAGCGGAAUUCCUAGUGUAGCGGUGAAAUGCGUAGAUAUUAGGAGGAUCACCGGUGGCGAUGUCGGCUUACUGGCCUAUAACUGACGUUGGGGCUCGAAAGCUUGGAGUGAAAACAGGUGUGGAUGCCCGUAGUGUCCACGCCGUAAACGAUGAAUACUAGGUGUCGUGUUUCUAUAGAGAAUCGGUGCCGCAGCAAACGCAAUAAGUAUUACACCUGGGGAGUACGUUCGCAAGAAGGAUACUCAAAGGAAUUGACGGGG
rnacentral:rRNA from 1 species